AGACUCAUUGUUAUCUAAGACUUAUGAUAUUGAGAAUACAAACCACUUUGUUCAGCUGUGUGCUAACAAAUUCAGAGAGAGAUCUCUACCCCUUUGCUCUUGUGUUUUCCUUCGCGAAGAUUACAGAAGCGGCCGCGUCAUCGGCACCCAAUCCGUGCUUCUGAUCCUCGAGUUCAGGUUGCGUAGGUUGGUUCUUCGAGAUUGUGGUUGGGCGAAUCCUUGGUUCAGGCUGCCGUAUAGAGACGGUGGUUGGCUCCUUGUGUGUGUCGUCAGGUUGCACUAGUUAUCCUCGCUGCUUGCAGCAAGUUAUCAGCUGAUCUUCAGCUAGUUAUCCUACAUCGUGAAGAUCGGGACAACGACCUCAUCAUCUGGUAUCAAAGCUCAAGUUUCCACGGUAGGAUUUUCAACCUUAGCUACAUAUAUAUAUCUUGUUCGUCCUAUCCACCAAAAAGCCAUAAAAAAUUGCAUUAGCCCAAAUUGUUUCAAUCUGUUUUUCUUGUGAGUUUGGUUAAGUUUCAGUCCAUUAGAGUUUUGUUUAGUUGCUGAUCAUCAUAUCCUUUGUGUGUCCUUUGUGCCUCUUUUAUAUCUACAAAUCCCUAAAGAAAAUCUGAAACCGGUAUCAUCCUUCGCGUAAACUUUGAGCCUAUCAAGUUAGAACGCUGACGGUUGUGUCUUGUUUCAAAAAAAAAGUGUGUGCAAGUGUUAUAUUUGCUCUUGUUCUUAGUUAUAAAAAAAGUAUCAAAAAAAAGGAAAGUAAAAAAAGGAGAGUUGAGGAAGAAAAGUUGUGAAGAAAGAGUAGAAAGUUCACUCUGUUUAUGUGCUCAAGUUCUGAAUUUUAUAUCAAGUCACACAAUCAGUCAUUAUCCAUCUUUGGUGUAAAAUUUUGCUUGGGUUUGAUUGCAACACUUGCAUCCUAGGCAUACUCCUUGUUUGCAUCAAAUCUGAAUUAUCUUUACGCAUGUGUUUGAUCUAUUUACAUCACUCAUAUCUUGUGGUCAGCACUAGGCAUUGAACUUCUAGUUUGGAUUGUGGUUUAACUUUACAAUAUCAAGAAUUCAGACUGCAUUCCUUGUGAAAUAUAUCCCCACCAAGCUCCACAAAUAACCCACCGUCAUAGGAAAAUACUGAUCUUGGAUUCUCCCAACCAUCAUUCUCGGUUACCACCUCGCAUUGGCCGUUGUAAUCUGCGGGGAACUCACAUGAGCUU
rnacentral:lncRNA from 1 species